UGCCAGAGGAAGCUUUGAAGACAAGCCAUUGCCAGUGCCCCGCCCUGAUUCUGACUCUUGUGGGCCAAGGACAGACCUGGACUUAGAAUAUGGAUGACACACACUAAGUCUUCCUUCACAGAUACCUCAGCUCUGGGUGUCAGAAAACAAGCCUCCUUAGCUCUUCUCAGCACUGUGACAAAUGCUCUCCUUAUGACAAAUGGCAGCGAGUCUGUUUCUCCUCGGUUUUCUAACAGUUUGGCGCCUGGGGACAGUUAGGGUUGUUAGGCUGAUCAUCCCUCAGGAGGAAGGAGGGCAGCUACUGCAUAGCAGAAAUGCAGGCAUGGAUGGGCCGGUGUUUGUAAUGCCUGGUGGUGAUCAUGGCUGCUCCCCCUUGUGGUCAUGGGCUGGUUAUGUCCCUCUUUAUGACAGCAUAAUGAACAAGAAUAAAGUUAACCCCAAUGUGUAGCCUAGAAUGUGUUGUGAACAGCAUCCAGAAUAUACCUAUCAGAAGUAGUCUCAUCUGUGUCCCCCCUCCACCAUCUGAGAGACCCAGAAAACAGCCUUCACAUGCAAAGACAGCAGGACACAGCGGGCUAAGCUGUAAAAGGAUAUCCUGUUCUGAGAGGGACUGGGACAAAGCCCAGGUUGCUGGGGCCUGUGCUCCCCACCGCCCCCUCCCCCCGGAUAAUUUAAACAUUUAAACAUUUCUAUCACAUUCUAUUGUAAAUAUUGAGAACUCGGAGCAAAGAAGGAGAAAUGGAGAGACCCCAGGGAGUCUGAGAACUGCGAUUGGAGUCAGGAGAUGAAAUGGAAUGAGAAAGAAAGCUUGAACUCACCGUAAAGGCAACCAGAAACACUAAAAGGACUUAAAUAAGUAUGCAGUGGGUGCUCAAUGGUGCUUUCGUGCCAGCAAGACAUCUACUGCUCUCUCAGGCUGAGGAUCUCAAAGCUGUGUUUAUCUGUCCGUGUUUUCAAUGCCUAUACACAGUACACGGGAUUCUCAUGAGUGAGUGAAUUAAUGAAUGUUUCCUCCCAGGACAACUAGUAUGAAACCAAUUUAUCUUUGUGUCUAGAUAUGACAAUAGUUGAUGUUCUGCUCCCAAAUAAACUCCAAG
rnacentral:lncRNA from 1 species